AUUGAACGCUGGCGGCAGGCCUAACACAUGCAAGUCGAGCGGAUGAAGGGAGCUUGCUCCUGGAUUCAGCGGCGGACGGGUGAGUAAUGCCUAGGAAUCUGCCUGGUAGUGGGGGAUAACGUCCGGAAACGGGCGCUAAUACCGCAUACGUCCUGAGGGAGAAAGUGGGGGAUCUUCGGACCUCACGCUAUCAGAUGAGCCUAGGUCGGAUUAGCUAGUUGGUGGGGUAAAGCCUACCAAGGCGACGAUCCGUAACUGGUCUGAGAGGAUGAUCAGUCACACUGGAACUGAGACACGGUCCAGACUCCUACGGGAGGCAGCAGUGGGGAAUAUUGGACAAUGGGCGAAAGCCUGAUCCAGCCAUGCCGCGUGUGUGAAGAAGGUCGUCGGAUUGUAAAGCACUUUAAGUUGGGAGGAAGGGCAGUAAGUUAAUACCUUGCUGUUUUGACGUUACCAACAGAAUAGGCACCGGCUAACUUCGUGC
rnacentral:rRNA from 1 species